AGUGGGUAACUUAUUCCCAUGAUCAACUUAAAACAAACAUAAAAGGACUCAGGAAAACCAUCUGUCAGAGAAGCACAUAAACUUUCAAGCAAUGGUUUAAAACAUCUAUUGAUUGCGCAAUGGAUGAUUUGUAAUUACAGAAUACGCAUUUGGUAAAUAGGUCUUUGUGGCCCUUUGAACUCUUUUUAUUGGGUUAACAGAUAAUUAGGGUCUGUUGUGUAGAUGCUCCAUAAUUGCUCCUUUGGAGCAGUUAAAGUUUGCGGAAUGGAUCCCCAACUCUGCUAUUUCUUUGUUGCAUCCCUCCAGCUCCUAAUAGAGCUAGUGAGAAGAGCUGGGAGAGGCUCACCCUGGUAUUUAGGAGGCAGCUGUUUUGCAUUCAAGGUAGAUCUCAGAAGCAGCAACCUGGGUGGCAGGGAGGGCAGGAGAGAGAGUUGGUUCUAUAAUCCCAGAGGCUGUCCCAGCUGCCCCCGCCAGCCAGCCUUGGGCAUAGUGUAAAUUGCUGCUGCUUUCUCACCAUGUGUGGACCACCAACCUGAGCUGUGUGAGCCUCAGCACUUUCUUCUCUGGAGACUAACCUAUGAAAAAGCAAGGGCUAUGGAUCAAGUAUUCUUUGAAGUGCCCUGUUCACUUCAUGGUUCUGUAGAGAAUUAGAAAACUUCCAGGAGUUUCCAAGAAUGCUGAUAUCCAGUUCACCACUUUACCCACUGGUUGGAAGAAGCCUUGGAGGGCACACAGAAGCACUUCCUCCUUUUACAAACAAGAAAAGGGACAGAGUGACAACUUUAAAAAAAUCUACAUCUGAAGUUAGUUCUAUAGUUUCCUAUCUCCAGAAGAGGCAGAAAUGAACUCCACCAUGCCUAAAGUUUGGCUUGGCUGCAACCCUCCAGGGCAUCUUAUCACUGUUUUAUUGGAGUUGGAACGCGGCUGGAAUUGGAGUACAAAUUUCCUUCAGCAAGGAAAUGCUGGAGAAACAAGAGCAAGUUAACCUCCAAAUGGGUUCCAAGGCAACCGCUGUGUUGAAAUUUCACUUGGGUUCCCCUGGCUCUUUUUUACCUGCCUCUGCCAAAUUGUUGAUGCCCUCGCCUGUUGGAAAUGGAUGACUUUGAACAACGAGGGGCAAGGAGCCUCUCUUUUACUUCAGAACUACUACAGCAAGAAUUCAAACUCUUUGUUUUUGAGAAAAUAGCUCCUAAUGCUGUGUUGAUUUUACCGUGUGCUUCAGAAAAAGACCCUUAAGGCUAAUUGAUAUGAACAUAUAGAGGCAGUCUGAGCUUACCAGAAUUUAUAUUACCUGAUGUGUUAAGAAUCAGGAAGCUAUUUAUGCUAGCCUAUAGCAGCAACCCUUUGUAUUUAGUGUGUUUGUGUGUACACACAUACCUGUGUAAAUCAAAAUGAAAGCUUGCUUUUGUGAUCUAGCACAAGUUUUGCCAUAUCAUAUAUACAUUUUUAACUUUUGGAAGGUAGAAGACAAUUGAUAGGCAUUUAACAUGAAGAAAACAUGCAUUUAUAGUCAAUAUUAAUAGAAUAGAUGGUACUAAUCUAUAACAGUGAAAAAUAAAGAAGGUAGAGGAAGGAGGACAAAGACAGAGAGGAGACAGGGGGGAAAGGAGAAGACAGAAAAAAGAAAACCUCAAAACAAGGACUGCUCUGAGAGCCACAACUGAGUUUUAUGCUUCUUGCUGUCAUCUUUCUCUAACCUUAAAGGGCAGAAAGCAAUUGGGAGAACUAACCUGCACUUAGAUUUCAGCUUCCAUAGGAUGUUACAUUCUCAGGGUCUAUUAAAUCGAUUGGACUUUGACCUUAGCUUCCACGAAGUCCUUACCUUUUGAUUGGGGCUGAGAGGUCUGAUUUAACCUCAUGGAAUUUGUAUUUUUUGGAGGAACUCCUGCCUCGUCCGUACAUGGUGAAACCCCCAACAGCAGCAUUUUUAAUUUCCAGAUUCUCAGCAGACACAAUGCACAGACUGUAGAAAACACCUGCUCAUCCGGACCGCUCAGCUCACAGGCUCCUUCCUCAGGGGAGCAUCUGAUGCUCCAGGCAAGGCAGACCCUCUUCUUAUACUCUUGUGACCUCUUAGACUUUUCUUUUGUAGCACUUACUCCAGACUCUAAUCAUAUUUAUGUUGUGAUUGUUUAUGCAAUGGUUUUCUUCCUAACUAGGCUCUGAGUUCCAUGAGAGUUGCAAUGUCUGCAUCCCUUACCCUUGUUGAUAUACUGCACUGUGCCCGGUACCUAAGUAAUUGCUCAAUAAAUAUUUGUUAAAUGAAUGAUUAUAAUAGUAUGCAUAUAUGCAUAUAUAGUAUGAUAAUAUAUAUAAAUAUGUGUAAAACAGUAUAUAUACACAUGCUAUAUUAAUAGCACAUCAUGUAAUAUUGUAUGUCUACACACACAUACAUUCAGUAUUUACUCAGUUUUUCUGUAUAAGUACCGCGCGCUAACCGAUUGCGCCACUGGAGCUCUAGUAUUUACUCAGUUUUUCUGAGGCUUAUUUACUCAUUGGUGAAGUGAAAGUGAAUGUAAGGCUCUUUGCAAACCCCAAAGUGCUAGACCAGUAGGAAAGAUCAGAAUAGCCUUUCAUAUUAAACACUAUGAAGCCAGGAGCUGUGGCUCCCAACUGCAAUCCCAGCACUUUAGGAGGCUGAAGUGGAAGGAUCACUUUAGCCCAAGAGUUUGAGACCAGCCAGGGCAACACAGGGAGAUACCAUCUCUACAAAAAAAAAUUUUUUUAAUUAGCCAGGCAUGUGGUGCUUGCCUGUGGUCAAGUAGCCUCAGCUACUCUGGAGGCUGACGCAUGAGGAACACUUGAGCCCAGGAGGUUGAGGCUGCAGUGAGCUGUGAUUGUGCCACUGCACUCCAGUCUGGGUGACACAGUGAGACCUUGUCUUCAACGAACAAACAAACAAGCAAAAAACACUAUGGUAGAGACCCCAGUAAAUGCCUUCCAUGCUUAUAAAAUACAUUUAAGUAUCUCUCAAUCAAGUUUUCAGUAUUCUCAAGUCAGUCUUUCAUUCUAAAUUUAGAGUCAUUUCCAAAUAUAGUGCAUUUCCUGUCCCAUUCCUUCCCUGAAAGACAGCCGUGUCCAACUAGAAGUGGGCCUGACGCCUCUUAUUAGCCCGGUUGCAUUUCUGUCUCGCUCUUGGCUGCAGUGUGUGAGCUGAUGGGCCCCACGUGACUGUGUUCACGUCCAAGCUUAGUAGAAUGAAUUUUUCCAGCAUGAUUUGCAAGUCACGCUAUCACAUGCCUCCUGAGUCCAGCUGUGCCGCAGCUGCCGCCUCCCCUGCAUCCGCUCAUCUUGCACUUGGAUCAAAAGCACGAGCACAUUUGCCUGAACCGAUCUGGUCUCGGCCCAGCUGUUUGUUCCCCAUUGUCAUCAGGAUGUUUACAGACCUGCUGUUCUUGCUGUACUUGUUUCAUGAUCACACUUGGGUCUGCAGAGCAUUUUAACACAUGGCUGUGGCCGAAGCUGGCAAUUUGACUAGCUUUUCUUGGUCACUGAGACUUCUCUAAGGCAUUUCCUUCAAACCUUCCUAACUAUGUGUAUGCUUGCACAUUUCCACA
rnacentral:lncRNA from 1 species